rnacentral:rRNA from 1 species
UUAUAGAGUAAAGAUAGAAAUAAAACUUAGUAAAAUCAGUAAAAAUAUUCUUAGACUAAAGUUAAGUAGUUUAAGUUGUGUGCAAGUGGUAGGAGAGCGUUCUAUUUGCGUCGAAGGUAUACCGGUAAGGAGUGCUGGAGCGAAUAGAAGUGAGCAUGCAGGCAUGAGUAGCGAUAAUUAAUGUGAGAAUCAUUAACGCCGUAAACCCAAGGUUUCCUACGCGAUGCUCGUCAUCGUAGGGUUAGUCGGGUCCUAAGUCGAGUCCGAAAGGGGUAGACGAUGGCAAAUUGGUUAAUAUUCCAAUACCAACAUUAGUGUGCGAUGGAAGGACGCUUAGGGCUAAGGGGGCUAGCGGAUGGAAGUGCUAGUCUAAGGUCGUAGGAGGUUGUACAGGCAAAUCCGUAUAACAAUACUCCGAGAACUGAAAGGCUUUUUGAAGUCUUCGGAUGGAUAGAAGAACCCCUGAUGCCGUCGAGCCAAGAAAAGUUUCUAAGUUUAGCUAAUGUUGCCCGUACCGUAAACCGACACAGGUGGGUGGGAUGAGUAUUCUAAGGCGCGUGGAAGAACUCUCUUUAAGGAACUCUGCAAAAUAGCACCGUAUCUUCGGUAUAAGGUGUGGUUAGCUUUGUAUUAGGAUUUACUCCGAAAGCAAGGAAACUUACAACAAAGAGUCCCUCCCGACUGUUUACCAAAAACACAGCACUCUGCUAACUCGUAAGAGGAUGUAUAGGGUGUGACGCCUGCCCGGUGCUCGAAGGUUAAUUGAUGGGGUUAGCAUUAGCGAAGCUCUUGAUCGAAGCCCGAGUAAACGGCGGCCGUAACUAUAACGGUCCUAAGGUAGCGAAAUUCCUUGUCGGUUAAAUACCGACCUGCAUGAAUGGCGUAACGAGAUGGGAGCUGUCUCAAAGAGGGAUCCAGUGAAAUUGUAGUGGAGGUGAAAAUUCCUCCUACCCGCGGCAAGACGGAAAGACCCCGUGGACCUUUACUACAGCUUGACACUGCUACUUGGAUAAGAAUGUGCAGGAUAGGUGGGAGGCUUUGAGUAUAUGACGCCAGUUGUAUAUGAGCCAUUGUUGAGAUACCACUCUUUCUUAUUUGGGUAGCUAACCAGCUUGAGUUAUCCUCAAGUGGGACAAUGUCUGGUGGGUAGUUUGACUGGGGCGGUCGCCUCCCAAAUAAUAACGGAGGCUUACAAAGGUUGGCUCAGAACGGUUGGAAAUCGUUCGUAGAGUAUAAAGGUAUAAGCCAGCUUAACUGCAAGACAUACAAGUCAAGCAGAGACGAAAGUCGGUCUUAGUGAUCCGGUGGUUCUGUGUGGAAGGGCCAUCGCUCAAAGGAUAAAAGGUACCCCGGGGAUAACAGGCUGAUCUCCCCCAAGAGCUCACAUCGACGGGGAGGUUUGGCACCUCGAUGUCGGCUCAUCGCAUCCUGGGGCUGGAGCAGGUCCCAAGGGUAUGGCUGUUCGCCAUUUAAAGCGGUACGCGAGCUGGGUUCAGAACGUCGUGAGACAGUUCGGUCCCUAUCUGCCGUGGGCGUAAGAAGAUUGAAGAGAUUUGACCCUAGUACGAGAGGACCGGGUUGAACAAACCACUGGUGUAGCUGUUGUUCUGCCAAGAGCAUCGCAGCGUAGCUAAGUUUGGAAAGGAUAAACGCUGAAAGCAUCUAAGCGUGAAGCCAACUCUAAGAUGAAUCUUCUCUAAGCUCUCUAGAAGACUACUAGUUUGAUAGGCUGGGUGUGUAAUGGAUGAAAGUCCUUUAGCUGACCAGUACUAAUAGAGCGUUUGGCUUAUCUUU